CCAGAAGUCUAAGCAUAUCGAGCGAUGAUUUCAUCUAAUCCGUGAUUACCUCGAAAAAAGUUAUGUCGAGGUUAAGAGAGUCGACUCCACAGACAAUGUCGCAGACCCACUGACAAAGCCAUUAGGCUAGCAGAAGAUCGAAGCCCACCUUGAGAAGAUGGGACUUAGAUAUGUAGCCAAUUGGCAUUAGGUCAAGUGAGAGUUUGUUAGAUGUGUGCCCUAGAUACC
rnacentral:lncRNA from 1 species